rnacentral:lncRNA from 1 species
CUCAAGAGCGCCUAAAGGAACUGCUUCAUCAUUCAGGGCAUGCUAGCCAAUUAGAGCAAUGGAAUUGAGUCAUCCACGCAGCUGCAUCUAGGGAACUCCUGUCAAUCAGACUUGUGGUGCAGCUCUAGCCAAUCAAAGCUUCGGGGCAAGAUGUCCAAUCAAGAACACCAGACGAGACGAGAGGUGGGUCCUAUCCGCCGCCAUGCUGCAGAUUCUGUUCUUAAGCAGGCAUCGCGUGGUCCCGUGAGCUGCGGUGUGAUCGCCGCUGCCGGGAGCUGUAGGGGGAGCGCAGGCGAGCUCAGCAACCGCGCCAUGGUGAGCGCGGGGCCGCUGUCCCCGGAUGGGGAGGAGCGGUCGGCUGAGCCGCGUGAGCCGGGGUGAUAGGUCCUUCCCGGGGUUGGGGGAGCGGUGGGACCGGCCGGCCGAGCGGACACCCUGUGCGUUCCACUGGGCGACGUGGGCCCCGUCACUGGCCAGUGCUUGUCUCGGAGGACUCUAAUCACUUCCGCUUUUCCAGCCAUGUCUGCGCAGAGCGCGGGGAGCGGAAGACUCCUCCUAAUCAGGGGGUAGCUUCCGGGUUGGUGACGUCACCGCCCAGUGCUGGCGCCCUGUUUGUGCUUUUGGUGUCGCACUUAUGACUGCUGUGUUCUCUGCGCUGUGGUCUAGACGUUGUGGGCUUCGUAGGUCUAGCAUCAAGUGUGAGUUAAUUUUGUGAAAUUCUCCGAGUCUUUGUCCAAGAGUUUCUUUCGGAUGGUGUCCCAGAAACAGUUCUAGAAAAGAUUGUACUACUUUAUCAAAGUGAUCUCAGCGCCCUGGAAGUGGUGGUCUAAAUGUCCUGACUAACUGUGCAUCUCCGAGUUUGCUGCGGAGGGGCUUCUCUACCUCAGACGGGGAGGAGCAGUUGUUUGUGAGUAGAGCAUUAUUUAGAAGGUAACUGGGUGCCAGGACAGUUGAGCUAGAACAGUGGUGCAAAGUUUAUCCCUCCAGCUGCAGACGUGGGUUUUGGGUUUAGUUUACUAUGACAGGGAUGGAUUCUCUGAAGGAGUGAGCCUCAAGUUCAGUUAGAGAGCCGCCUGGUGUUAUCCUCAGAACAGCUAUAUCACUAUUGCUCAGGUGGACACACCUUGCUUGGCAGGUUGGUUUUGUGUGUCGUGGAGGUCUGGGUAAGACAUUCUGUGCCUGUCAUUCCUCCCCCAGCAGCCUGCUUAGUGCCCAGAGCAUCAUGAAAGCCAGCCAACAGGGAGGAAGUUCAGUGCCAGUUUGAUUUCUUUCUGCAUUGUAACCGGUGUGGGGGGCGUCUUCAGUAAUAACAGCCAGUUCUGGAGGGCAACCGUGAAGAGCAGGCGAGCCUGUUAGGUCUCCCUGACCUAUGGCUGAUAAGCAGUGAUUCUUUCCUGCUCUGGAGUUACGGCUUAGUAACCAUCGGCUUUCAGAAGCAUCAUCUACUGUAGGAUCUCUCCCUUCUUGUUUUUAUCAUUUGUCUUAACUUACACAUGACCUCGCUGUAGCACUGCUGUGUACAUGGACAGAGGACUCUAGAGCCUGCUCCGGGAGAUGCUUGUACAGUCAUGUUCAUUGUCAUUCUUAAUUUGUAAUAACCAGGAAAUUAAAAACAGCCUACAUGUCCAGCUGGUGAGUAGAUAUUAAAACCGUGUAUACAUGAAAGGCUUCCAUUCAGCUGUGAAUAAAACCAAGAUGAUGAAAUUUGCAGGCUAAUGGAUGAAACUAGAUAAUAAUACUGAAUCAGCUGAGAGUUUGAGCUGGGACAGUGAACACCCUGUGUCCCUCUCCCAUAGGUGUUAGUGUCACACUUGUCCUUAGAUUGCUGUGUCUUAACUUGCAGAGCUUGAAGAAGUAAGGAAAGGGCCACCAGGGAGCUGCUGUUAAGGAUGGAGGGAAUGGUAGCACAGAUAACCAACAGGAAGACUCUGGGUGAGGAGUUUGAA